UUAACCGAAUAGGGGAGCCGGAGGGAAACCGAGUCUUAAUUGGGCGUUAAGUUGCAGGGUAUAGACCCGAAACCCGGUGAUCUAGCCAUGGGCAGGUUGAAGGUUGGGUAACACUAACUGGAGGACCGAACCGACUAAUGUUGAAAAAUUAGCGGAUGACUUGUGGCUGGGGGUGAAAGGCCAAUCAAACCGGGAGAUAGCUGGUUCUCCCCGAAAGCUAUUUAGGUAGCGCCUCGUGAACUCAUCUUCGGGGGUAGAGCACUGUUUCGGCUAGGGGGUCAUCCCGACUUACCAACCCGAUGCAAACUGCGAAUACCGAAGAAUGUUAUCACGGGAGACACACGGCGGGUGCUAACGUCCGUCGUGAAGAGGGAAACAACCCAGACCGCCAGCUAAGGUCCCAAAGUCAUGGUUAAGUGGGAAACGAUGUGGGAAGGCCCAGACAGCCAGGAUGUUGGCUUAGAAGCAGCCAUCAUUUAAAGAAAGCGUAAUAGCUCACUGGUCGAGUCGGCCUGCGCGGAAGAUGUAACGGGGCUAAACCAUGCACCGAAGCUGCGGCAGCGACGCUGAUGCGUUGUUGGGUAGGGGAGCGUUCUGUAAGCCUGUGAAGGUGGCCUGUGAGGGUUGCUGGAGGUAUCAGAAGUGCGAAUGCUGACAUAAGUAACGAUAAAGCGGGUGAAAAGCCCGCUCGCCGGAAGACCAAGGGUUCCUGUCCAACGUUAAUCGGGGCAGGGUGAGUCGACCCCUAAGGCGAGGCCGAAAGGCGUAGUCGAUGGGAAACGGGUUAAUAUUCCCGUACUUGGUGUUACUGCGAAGGGGGGACGGAGAAGGCUAUGUUGGCCGGGCGACGGUUGUCCCGGUUUAAGCGUGUAGGCUGGUUUUCCAGGCAAAUCCGGAAAAUCAAGGCUGAGGCGUGAUGACGAGGC
rnacentral:rRNA from 1 species